UGAAUACGAGACGCUAAGGCGUCGAAGUAGUGUAUGUCAUACUUCCAAGAAAAGCUUGCACUGUCAUAAAUAAAAAUGCCUGUACCAUAACCGACACAGGUGGGUAAGUAGAGUAUACUAAGGGGCGCGAGAUAACUCUCUCUAAGGAACUCGGCAAAAUAACUCCGUAACUUCGGGAGAAGGAGUGCCUUAUUCUUAAGGUUGCAAUAACAAGAUCCAAGCAACUGUUUAUCAAAAACACAGGUCUCCGCUAAGUCGUAAGACGAUGUAUGGGGGCUGACGCCUGCCCAGUGCCAGAAGGUUAAAGAGGUCGGUUAGCAAUAGCGAAGCUGGUAACUGAAGCCCUGGUGAACGGCGGCCGUAACAAUAACGGUCCUAAGGUAGCGAAAUUCCUUGUCGGGUAAGUUCCGACCCGCACGAAAGGCGUAAUGAUUUGGAUGCUGUCUCGGAGAGAGGCUCGGUGAAAUAGACUUGUCUGUGAAGAUGCGGACUACCUGCACCAGGACAGAAAGACCCUAUGAAGCUUUACUGUAACUUGAAAUUGAAAUUGGACUUUACUCGCGCAGUAUAGGUGGGAGGCGUUGAUUAUAAUCUCGUGGGAUUAUUGGAGCCAUCAGUGAGAUACCACUCUUGUAAUGUUAGAUUUCUAACUUUGAAUCAUUAUCUGGUCAAAGGACAGUUUCAGGCGGGCAGUUUGACUGGGGCGGUCGCCUCCUAAACGGUAACGGAGGCGUACAAAGGUUUCCUCUGAACGGUUAGAAAUCGUAUCUAGAGUGUAAAGGCAUAAGGAAGCUUGACUGUGAGACCUACAAGUCGAGCAGGGACGAAAGUCGGUCUUAGUGAUCUGACGGUACUGAGUGGAAAGGCCGUCACUCAACGGAUAAAAGUUACUCUAAGGAUAACAGGCUGAUCUCCCCCAAGAGUUCACAUCGACGGGGAGGUUUGGCACCUCGAUGUCGGCUCAUCGCAUCCUGGGGCGGUAGUACGUCCCAAGGGUUGGGCUGUUCGCCCAUGAAAGCGGUACGCGAGCUGGGUUCAGAACGUCGUGAGACAGUUCGGUCCAUAUCCGGUGUAGGCGCUAGAAUAUUGAGAGGAGCCUUCUUUAGUACGAGAGGACCGAGAAGGACAUACCUCUGGUGUACCAGUUAUCGUGCCAACGGUAAACGCUGGGUAGCUAUGUAUGGAGUGGAUAACCGCUGAAAGCAUCUAAGUGGGAAGCCCACCUCAAGAUAAGUAUUCUCUU
rnacentral:rRNA from 1 species